AGAGUUUGAUCAUGGCUCAGGAUAAACGCUGGCGGCGUGCCUAACACAUGCAAGUCGAACGCCCCUUAGCAAUAAGGGAGUGGCGGACGGGUGAGGAACACGUGGGUAUCUGCCUUGAGGUGAGGAAUACCAGCGAGAAAUCGCUGACAAUACCGCAUACGUUUCGCGAGAAACAAAGUCGCAAGACGCCUUGGGAUGAG
rnacentral:rRNA from 1 species